rnacentral:tRNA from 1 species
AGUAGUAUUUCAGAUAGCUAUGUUUAUUGUAAAUAAUCAGAUAUAAUAGAAAUGAUAGUCUUUUUACAGUUA